GCCCCGCCGUGGCAGGAGCCGCCGCGCUGAGGGUGGAGCCGCCCCGCCGUGGCAGCCUGGGGCUGUUACAGAUUUGUACAGGUCUAUACACCAGGAUCGCCGUUCCGCUGCAGGUCACCGUGACUGCCCUCAAAUCCGUACUGCCUGCUGUGCCUUCUGAGUUUACUGCCUCAGCUGUCUGAUUACUGCAGGACCAUCCACUAGUUUAAAAAAAGUAAGGGUAAAAAGUUAAGAUUUUACUACACUUACCUUCUGUGUUAGUAAUAUAUGCUAAAUAAACCUAAAAAGAAAGGUCUGAGUAGGUCUUGCCUUGAGUAAAAACUAUCCAUGCCUUUUAGAUACAGUUGCUGUGCAAUACUUUGUGAAGUCUGAAAAAUGAACUAGUGAAAAUCAUUUGUUUUCCUUCACUCUCCUUCAUAUCCCUACCCCACCCCAGGCUUUUCUUCUGGUCCAAAUCUUAAAUUUUGUACAAUUGUUACAUAUUGUAUGUCUAGCCAACAGCCACAUAAAUACAACAGGUGUAAAAUCAACAAAGUGCACAUAUUAAACAAUAGGUGCCUGACCAGCACACGCAUAAUAAUAAUACAAUAGCUGUCUGACUAGCAAAGCCAUAAUAAAAUAGUUGUGUGACCAGAAUGCAUAUCAAAAGCAGUUUAACGCUUCAAACACCUUAUUAGUCUAAAAACAUUUCUAAGCCUUAAGUGGGAUAAACAAUUCUAUUUUGGUAAUACAAAGCUAUUUUUCUAGCAGAGAACAAACAAUAUUUAAUAUCAUAAUGAACAAACAAACUUGUGUUAUAGCUUAUGUAUCUCAAAACUUACUUACUUGGUUUUAUUCAAAGUUUCCAGAAAAAAUAUUCACCUUUGUUCAGACACACACUAUGAGAAGUAUCAGUUCAAAAGCAUUUUUGACAGAAGUUGAGAGGUGGAAACAGGGACUUGCAAUAGAAUGUUUCUUACAACCUUAACAAUAUAUAUUUCAUUAUUACCUUUUAAUUGAAAAGACAACAUAAGUGAGAGUUACCAAAGAUUCUUUAGUGUGACCUUCACAAAUAUCUCUCCAUAUUGCUUUGGGGGUGGAAUAAUGACCUCAGAUCUGGGAUUCAUCAGUCAUGAAGUAAGGAAGUGUGGUUUGAAAUGUUAAUUCUCAAUUCCCAUAAACGCAGAUUGAUAGAUGAGGCAAAAAAUGGUUCCAGAUGCUACAGUUUCCAGACUAUUCAUCUGUGCUCACUUUUCUCUAUCUCUAUAACCUGGAGCAAUUUACUGUAAGUAGGCCACCUGCAUUCUCAGAUUUAUCUGAAUAUGGAAAAAUGCCCUUGAAUGUGUUUGGAAAAUGGUGGGUUGACACUUAUCCUCAUUUCUAAAAAUCUGAAAAAAGCUGGGUUUCUAACCCAAAUAAGCAAGCAGCUUGACUACGUGAUUCAUGCAAAUAUCUAUGAAAAAAUUAUUUUUGGAAAAUACCUCAUUAAAUAAAAUUGUCAUGACAA